rnacentral:rRNA from 1 species
GCUUGUCUCAAAGAUUAAGCCAUGCAUGUCUAAGUAUAGUACCUUAUACUGCGAAACUGCGAAUGGCUCAUUAAAUCAGUUAUAAUUCAUUUGAUGGUACUUACUACUCGGAUAACCGUAGUAAUUCUAGAGCUAAUACGUGCGUAAAUCCCGACUUCUGGAAGGGACGUAUUUAUUAGAUAAAAGGCCAGCCGGGUUUCGGCCCGUUCUUUGGCGACUCAUGAUAACUUCACGAAUCGCAUGGCCUCGCGCCGGCGAUAUUUCAUUCAAAUUUCUGCCCUAUCAAUUGGCGAUGGUAGGAUAGAGGCCUACCAUGGUGUUAACGGGUGACGGGGGAUUAGGGUUCGAUUCCGGAGAGGCAGCCUGAGAAACGGCUACCACAUCUAAGGAAGGCAGCAGG